rnacentral:rRNA from 1 species
GACGAACGCUGGCGGCGUGCUUAACACAUGCCAGUCGAACGAAAAGAGGGAAAGAGCUUGCUCUUUCCGGAAUUGAGUGGCAAACGGGUGAGUAACACGUAAACAACCUGCCUUCAGGAUGGGGACAACAGACGGAAACGACUGCUAAUACCGAAUAAGUUCCAAGGGCCGCAUGGCCCAUGGAAGAAAAGGUGGCCUCUACCUGUAAGCUAUCGCCUGAAGAGGGGUUUGCGUCUGAUUAGCUGGUUGGAGGGGUAACGGCCCACCAAGGCGACGAUCAGUAGCCGGUCUGCGAGGAUGAACGGCCACACUGGAACUGAGACACGGUCCAGACUCCUACGGGAGGCAGCAGUGGGGAAUCUUCCGCAAUGGGCGAAAGCCUGACGGAGCAACGCCGCGUGAGUGAUGACGGCCUUCGGGUUGUAAAACUCUGUGAUCCGGGACGAAAAGGCAGAGUGCGAAGAACAAACUGCAUUGACGGUACCGGAAAAGCAAGCCACGGCUAACUACGUG